rnacentral:rRNA from 1 species
CCCUUAGACGUUCUGGGCCGCACGCGCGCUACACUGACCAGUGCAACAAGUCUUAACCUUGGCCGAUAGGUCUGGGUAAUCUUUGAACGCUGUUCGUGAUUGGGAUAGACCUUUGCAAUUAUGGGUCUUCAACGAGGAAUUCCUAGUAAACGCAAGUCAUCAGCUUGCAUUGAUUACGUCCCUGCCCUUUGUACACACCGCCCGUCGCACCUACCGAUUGAAUGGUCCGGUGAAAUCUCGGGACGGCGGCUUGGUCGCUUGCGUCCGACUGCUGAAACUUGAUUAAACCAUAUCAUUUAGAGGAAGGUGAAGUCGUAACA